rnacentral:tRNA from 1 species
GCGAAAGUGGCGGAAUUGGCAGACGCGCAGGAUUCAGGUUCCUGUGGCCGCAAGGCCGUGGGGGUUCAAGUCCCCCCUUUCGCACCA